UGAAUAUUACUUAUUCCUGCAUCGUAAUUAGGCGGAACACGUUUUGAAGGAGGAGCUACAGUUUCUAAACCAAUCAGAACGAAGAACCCAAGGCGAAAGAUUUCUGAUAGAGUUUGACUGACAGGAGGGCGCCACUGUAGAUUAUUAGUGUGUUUGAAUUCAAGACUGACGAGAAAUAUUUCAAAUUUCCUAAACAAGUGCAGCCAUUUUCCAUGGGAAAUCAUUCGUAACGGUAAAACAAAACGACACACGGAAGCAGCAGCCAAAUGUCAAAAACUGUUUUGAAAUACCAAAAACUAUAUCAGUGUUGAGACGCAUUUUCAAAGGAGCUAUUUUAAACUGCCAUUAGCUACGGAAUAGAACAAAAGAAUUAUCCACUUACCUCUCUGAAAAUUAUCGUCUGCUGUUGUUGAGAAUCGGCCGCCAUCUUGGACGUGAUGCGCGUCUUCAGUGAUAUGCAGCGACAACGGAGGUUAAAAGCUCUACUGAAGAAGAAUUUUAAUGGCCGGCCGCAGUGGCGGAGAGAAGAUUGCCCCAGAGUUUGAGAACUCUGCUUGUGUUUUGUGCUUAAGACAAAGGAUAUUUGAGUGGACCAGAAUAGGCUAAAGAGGCAGGAAAUUAGAAGCUAAUCAAGACAGUUUAAUAAAUCUAUAGACUGAACAGAAAAAUAUGAACCACUGGAGAUUAAAGAGAUAUUCAACUGCGAUGUUUUCUAGAGAAUGCAUACACAAGGGACGACUUCCACGUGGAUUGAAGAUUGAUAUCAUUAAAUUAAAACUCACUAAUGAAGAUUUAAUUGAAGACAAGACAAAAGACAAACAACGGUCGGUCUUCUAAUUGAAAGAAAAUACUCGCAUCAGGAAGUAUCAUUAAUUAACAUUUAGCUGAAAUUUAUGUUCUCUUUUUGUUCUUCGACGUGGGGCGCCAUCUAAGAUGGAAUGUUCAGCGUCCUUUUUUUAGAAUUGCGCGUGGGUUUUUGCUACAAUUCUUUCAUUAUAUGUUGCUACAAGAAGACAAAAGACCAAGGACAUUGAAUUCAAAUAUAUUUGACAGAUCAACAGUGUAGCGAGGCUUUUAAUAACUACAUUAUAUUCUUUAAACGAUCAGUGAUUAAUUUACGUUCUCUUGAACUGUAUACUUGAGAGAGAUGAGGAACAUAAUUAAAUGAUUUAUUUGCAU